rnacentral:rRNA from 1 species
GACGAACGCUGGCGGCGUGCCUAAUACAUGCAAGUAGAACGCUGAAGGAGGAGCUUGCUUCUCUGGAUGAGUUGCGAACGGGUGAGUAACGCGUAGGUAACCUGCCUGGUAGCGGGGGAUAACUAUUGGAAACGAUAGCUAAUACCGCAUAAGAGUAAAUGUCGCAUGACAUUUGCUUAAAAGGUGCAAUUGCAUCACUACCAGAUGGACCUGCGUUGUAUUAGCUAGUUGGUGAGGUAACGGCUCACCAAGGCAACGAUACAUAGCCGACCUGAGAGGGUGAUCGGCCACACUGGGACUGAGACACGGCCCAGACUCCUACGGGAGGCAGCAGUAGGGAAUCUUCGGCAAUGGACGGAAGUCUGACCGAGCAACGCCGCGUGAGUGAAGAAGGUUUUCGGAUCGUAAAGCUCUGUUGUAAGAGAAGAACGAGUGUGAGAGUGGAAAGUUCACACUGUGACGGUAGCUUACCAGAAAGGGACGGCUAACUACGUG